CGCCGGCAAGAGUGCUUGCAACUCGGAAGAGCUCUUCGUGGUCUAGCUCGAAGCAGUUGUAGAGACGUCGCCCUGCCUUCUUGCCCGCGGCUGUGUAGGGAG
rnacentral:misc_RNA from 1 species